UACGUAGGACCCAAGCGUUAUCCGGAUUGACUGGGCGUAAAGAGUUGCGUAGGUGGUUUAUCAAGCGAAUAGUGAAAUCUUGUGGCUCAACCAUGAGGCUAUUAUUCGAACUGAUAAACUCGAGAAGAGGAGAGGCAUCUGGAAUUCUUAGUGUAGGGGUAAAAUCCGUAGAUACUAGGAGGAACACCAAUGGCGUAGGCAGGAUGCUGGACUCUUUCUGACACUAAGGCACGAAAGCGUGGGGAGCGAACCGG
rnacentral:rRNA from 1 species